AAAACGGCCCUUUUCAGGGCCACUAAUAUUGUGUAUACCAAGUGAU
rnacentral:ncRNA from 1 species